AAUAACGCGAAAUGGCGGAACAGUGUUUUGGUAAAUAUCAUGAAAUAUAUAAAAGUAUAUAAGUACGAGGUCUACGAUUCGUUAAUUUCCCAAAGAUCAAACGAAACUAUUUGCAGACUCGAUCGAGUAGUGGAUGUUAAUUGAAUGCCGAAUGUGAUGGUAUAAAGAUAAAAAAGUAUGCACACGUCUUAUUUGUGUCAACGACAGAAACUGUGCUGUAGGCUGAGAAUAGCUUUACUCCAUUUAUUCCCUAAGAUGUGAACCUCCCGAUCCAGUUUCGGUGCUUCUAAGCAUUCCAAGCACCGGUCACAGUUCCCGUCGAAGCCGCCGAAUGCGACGAAGAGUUCGGCGAGUAAAUUAACCUACAGAUACAGUCCACUGAGUUUCUUGUCGGAUCUUCCCAUAGGUUCGCGAUUUAACAUAUUCGCCAGCCUCAGCGUCGUGACCUGGCCUCUAAGCCUUUCCUAUUCUAACCCCUCGAGAUUACUAACAAUACUAACUAACUAGGCAAACACAUAAUGGAUGUAAAUAUCGACAAAGACUUUUUUUUUCCUACCUAAGCUGAUAGCCUUGAGAGGCUAUUUCAUGUCCCGAGGUGGAUAGCUGCACGUUGUGAUAUUUACGAGAUUCGGUAACCAUUUUACGGAUUAAGCAGUGAACUCGUUCACCUUCAGUUAAAAAAAGGAUCUUGCUUUACUUUUUUAUUCUAUUUAGUUUGUGCAAUAUUUAAUUUUGUGUGAAAACCAACGAGAACAGGUCACGUAACAUGAACAUUUUUCAAACGAGGCUUGGAAGAGCAUUAAGCGAUAGGCAGCGUCUUGGCUCUGCCCCUAGCAUUGCUGAAGUCUAUGGGCGGCGGUAACCACUCACCAUCAGGUGGGCCGUAUGCCCGUCUGCCUACAAGGGUAAUAAAAAAAAUAAAAAAUAAAUUAUAUAAAAUUCUAAGAAAAAAAAAUGCUUUUUCAUGAAAUAAAUUGAAAUCAAUAAAUCUUACGGCGUUUAUAUCUUAUAAAUUUUACCAUAAUAAGUAUAAUAAAAUUUAAAGUAUGCCUAUCUAUGUAACAUAUGUAUUGUAUUUAGUCUGUUUUUUUUGUUCGUACAAUUUCAAAAGAUGUCGGCCCAAAAAAAAAAAACGAUCGUAAAAAUCCAAAAAAGUUUGAUGCGCAUUUUAAUUGUGCGUCAGCUUCCUUAUUACUGCAACGAUAUUUUGUUCUUGUAUCUUGUUCUGUAUUUUAGUUUUCUGUGUUUACAGAAUACGCUAAAAGCGUCAUUAUGACGUCAUUUAUAAAAUUAGUUGAACAUCGAAACGCCUUGGAACAUUUAUCACAAUGUCAAAUAAACGUAAAAUAGGUUAUGUCCAGUUUUAUUUCCCUGAAUCUAUUAAUUUUUCAGGCUCUUUCUUAUAUUUGUUAUGAACCGUUAAAGCGUAUUUCACGUAUUUACUUAUAACAGUUAUAACUUAAACAAAUUGUUGAAUAUUAUAAGUCUCCAGAAAUAAACAUUGCGUUCCAGUUUAUCUUGCUGUGCCAAACUUUUCCCGCCUUUACCACGGUCAGUCAACACGCGGAGAUCGCACGCUAAACCGGCCAGUGUUCGAUAAAAAAACUUUUUUAAAUCAGUGAUAAUCAAACACACAGCCAUGGCAGACGAUGAAUACCAACACAUAGUGACUAGAGUAGAAGCAAUAACGGAACAAGAUGAUAGGCAUUUAGCUGGUGCAACGAAAGAAAUAAGAAAUGAUUUAACGGUUAUUAUACCAGAAAAUCCGUUUCCAGAUAUCGAAGUCGAUGCGUAUCCACCUCUCAAGUUUUCAUGGGUCAUACCUAAAAAAAUUUCGGCUAUGGCCUUUCCUAGGAACAAGGAGAAUUUAAAAUUCUUAGUAAAUCAAGGCAUAACUCAUUUGGUGACAUUAACAGCUGGAAAAAAACCUCCUGUAGACGAUAUUCCUAGACUGAAGUGGACAGAAGUACCUAUUGAAGAGUUCGAGUUGCCGUCGGUUGAACAAAUUAAGAAGUUCAUGGAUGUAUGCAAAAGGGCUGAUAAAAAUGGGGAGGUAUUGGGGAUCCAUUGCCGGCAGGGUCGGAGCAGGUCCGGCGUGAUGCUGGCUUGCUACUUGGUACACUUCCACCGUUUCCUACCAGAUCAAGCUGUUAAUGCUAUCAGAAUGAUAAGACCUGGGUCAUGUGACUUUCCUGAGCACGAGGAAGCUGUGGGUAAAUAUUUCGAGUAUCUCACUGAGGACAACCCUCUAAAAUUCGGCGUCGGUGGAGAUGUCAUGGAGGAGUUCAUUGACGCCGCAAAAGAGGCCACGAAGAAAGUUCUAAAUUAAUGUUUUUGUUAUCUGUGAUCCAAUGUACCUGAUGAGAUUGUCUUUUUGUUUUAUUUAGGUCUAUUAAGGAAAAACCAAUCAAGAUGUCGGAUAAUACAAAUGUGUUAUUUAUUAAAUUUGAUAUUAAAUUAGGCUUUAUGCCUUAGAUUGUAUUAUGUUAAUUGUUAGAUAUGCUGCAAUAUAUUUAGUAAACUAUUACGGUAGAUACGUUAAAAUUUCGCAUCGCAGAAGUUAUAACCAACAAGCCAACAGUUAAUGGUAAGAGCUUUUGUGAAUGUAUUAAAGAUCCUAUGAAAAAAAAA